rnacentral:rRNA from 1 species
AGAGUUUGAUUCUGGCUCAGAACGAACGCUGGCGGCGCGUUUUAAGCAUGCAAGUCGAGCGGCAAGGGCCUUCGGGCCCCUAGAGCGGCGGACGGGUGAGCAACACGUGGACAAUCGUGCCCCCCGGACCGGGAUAGCCCCAGGGAAACCUGGAUUAAUACCGGAUGAGACGGGACCCGCGAUGGCGGGAUCCGGGAAAGGCGCUGCGGCGCGCCGGGGGAUGAGUCUGCGUCCCAUUAGCUAGACGGCGGGGUAACGGCCCACCGUGGCGACGAUGGGUAGCCGGCCUGAGAGGGUGGACGGCCACAUUGGAACUGAGACACGGUCCAGACUCCUACGGGAGGCAGCAGGCUAAGAAUCUUCCGCAAUGGGCGAAAAGCCUGACGGAGCGACGCCCCGCGUGGACGAAGAAGGCCGUGAGGUUGUAAAGUUCUUUUCGGGAGGGGGAACAACCGUGGCAGGGAAUGGCCGCGGGAUGACGUGAAUCCCGGAAUAAGCCCCGGCUAACUACCGUGCCAGCAGCCGC